GAUACCAGUUGACCAUUAUGGAAAUGUAGACUUGAAUAAGUUGAUCGACUCUGUGAAGUCUGUAAAAGCUGAUGGAAAAAUAGAUCAGGAUAAAUCGAAGGAG